ensembl:snoRNA SNORD24 Small nucleolar RNA SNORD24
UGCCGCAAUGAUGACACUAUAUUUGCUACUCUUGACAGUGGGAUGACGAUAACCAUAAACCACCGUAAUUGUAACUGAGGCA